AAUAAUCAUCCUGCGAGUGCCCGAUCCCUCAGCUAAGCAGGACCGAACCUGGUUAGUACUUGGAUGGGAGACCACCAUGGAAAACCAGGGGGUUC
rnacentral:rRNA from 12 species